AAAACAGGGCAGGACAAAUGACAACUUGACAACUUAAGGAACAAAAGAAAGGAGCAUUUCCUCUUUAAUAUGUUCUCGUCUUGAAAAGAUACAUCACAUGGGCAGAGAUGAAACAGAGUAUGACAAGAGAAUCUACAAGAAUUCUGCAACGUACAAUUCACCAGGAUUGUUGAUACAUAGUUUUUAAUCAAUUAAAGGAGACCUUGAUGAGACUUUAUGAUGCUGGUAUAAUGAGUUCCUCUUUUUUAAGUCCUUGUGAGUCCUCGAGCUUGUUGGCCCUUGAGAUAGAUGAAUCAAAGCUUCUUAACUGUGUACUGGACAUCUCAUUUCUCAACUGUGAAGAAAUGAAAUUAAUCUUCGCUGGUCCUUCCAUUGGUCUGGGUCUUGUGCUGCCAUUCUUUGGACUUGGACCCCGUUUUCCACUCUUUAGGCCAUUGUUUCAGUAGAGCGUGCCUGUAGCUGCUUCCUAGAAUAGGAUCUAACGUGGUGCAUAUUUAUGAGAUUUGAGGCUUUGGACCUGUGGAAGAAAGAAAGUGUAGAUCUCAAAAACAUACAACCAAGCCAAUGGCAUAGGUAGGUAAUGUGCAAGAAUUCAAGAGACACAUUCAGCAAGUCUUGAGAAGGUACCGUGCUGUCACCAACAUUCCUCAAUUCUUUAUGAUACAAAAUAGGAUACAGUAUAUGGACAACCAGUGAAUUUGAAGGACUAGAUUAUGCAAGAAAUUAGGCACUGAAAAUUACAGAGGAAAUGUCUUGUGUUAUGUGAACAAGACAUUAGUGAAAAGGGUAGAGAAUUGCACAUAUGCAUUUUCUUGAUCUUCAUACUGUUUAGCGAAGGUCUAACAGGUGUGAGGCUUUUAUCAACAAUGAAUGGAUGCUGACUUAUUGACAUGCAGGAAUCACUUGAAUCACAAAAGGACAACAUGAUUUGGAAAAGGUCAAGGACAAUGCAGACAUGCGAAAUUGCACAACAUCAGAAUUGAAGUUCACAGCUUGCUGUUCGUUCUAUUCUGCAAGCUAAAAUGAUGACUAGCCUCAGGUGAAGGAGAACUUACAAACAAGAAAUGAAAUAACAAUCUGUAUUUGAUUUCACCAAAAUGCCCUGAUAGUGUAGGUCAUUGAUUUUACUGCAAGUUAGCAGCUUCAUCAAACAACCUGGAAAUCAUGUAAAAAUGUGCAAAUUAAUAUGAACAUAUAUAGGUGAUAAAUUCAUAUGCAAAAGCUAUGUAGUUCUGACUUGCAUUGAGAUAUGACAUUAUUGUAAUAUAAAUUGGAUGUUGAGAAAGGCAAACAAAAACAAAUAACAGUUAAUAUUUUUGUCACACUUUUUACCUCUAGAUGUUAAGCUUUAAUUUUUCUCAUUCUUCCUCUUCAGUGGUGGUAUCUGGAAGACUAGAGGAAUCUGGGCUAGUUCUGAGUCUUCUGACUUCUCUUU
rnacentral:misc_RNA from 1 species